rnacentral:rRNA from 1 species
AUUGAACGCUGGCGGCAGGCCUAACACAUGCAAGUCGAGCGGCAGCGGGAAAGUAGCUUGCUACUUUUGCCGGCGAGCGGCGGACGGGUGAGUAAUGCCUGGGGAUCUGCCCAGUCGAGGGGGAUAACUACUGGAAACGGUAGCUAAUACCGCAUACGCCCUACGGGGGAAAGCAGGGGACCUUCGGGCGUUGCGCGAUUGGAUGAACCCAGGUGGGAUUAGCUAGUUGGUGAGGUAAUGGCUCACCAAGGCGACGAUCCCUAGCUGGUCUGAGAGGAUGAUCAGCCACACUGGAACUGAGACACGGUCCAGACUCCUACGGGAGGCAGCAGUGGGGAAUAUUGCACAAUGGGGGAAACCCUGAUGCAGCCAUGCCGCGUGUGUGAAGAAGGCCUUCGGGUUGUAAAGCACUUUCAGCGAGGAGGAAAGGUUGGUAGCUAAUAACUGCCAGCUGUGACGUUACUCGCAGAAGAAGCACCGGCUAACUCCGUGCCAGCAGCCGCCGUAAAAC